GCCGGGCGUCGUGGCGGGCGCUUGUAAACCAAGUUUCUGGGUGGCUGAGUUUGCGGGAACGGCCCGAGUCAGGACCAAACGGCCUCUGAUGGGGCGGCUGUAGACCGAGCGUCCGUUUCAAGGGCGGCGUCGACAAGGGACGGUGCCCGCAGGGGCUGCAGUUCCUGGUCGGUUAAAGAGGGAAGCACUGGCCCAGGCCCCACAGGGAGCAAGCUAAAUUCCCCGCGCCGUUACAGUGAGCGGAUGGCGCUCGCGAGGUCCUCCAACUGGGGUUGCCUGGCUGGGACCGCGACUCGAACUUUU
rfam:Bursaphelenchus xylophilus, Ka4C1 (inbred line), WGS project CADV01000000 data, contig: scaffold01102.15